rnacentral:rRNA from 1 species
UAGGGAAUCUUCGGCAAUGGACGGAAGUCUGACCGAGCAACGCCGCGUGAGUGAAGAAGGUUUUCGGAUCGUAAAGCUCUGUUGUAAGAGAAGAACGAGUGUGAGAGUGGAAAGUUCACACUGUGACGGUAUCUUACCAGAAAGGGACGGCUAACUACGUGCCAGCAGCCGCGGUAAUACGUAGGUCCCGAGCGUUGUCCGGAUUUAUUGGGCGUAAAGCGAGCGCAGGCGGUUAGAUAAGUCUGAAGUUAAAGGCUGUGGCUUAACCAUAGUAGGCUUUGGAAACUGUUUAACUUGAGUGCAAGAGGGGAGAGUGGAAUUCCAUGUGUAGCGGUGAAAUGCGUAGAUAUAUGGAGGAACACCGGUGGCGAAAGCGGCUCUCUGGCUUGUAACUGACGCUGAGGCUCGAAAGCGUGGGGAGCAAACAGGAUUAGAUACCCUGGUAGUCCACGCUGUAAACGAUGAGUGCUAGGUGUUAGACCCUUUCCGGGGUUUAGUGCCGUAGCUAACGCAUUAAGCACUCCGCCUGGGGAGUACAACCGCAAGGUUG